AAAAAUCCGGGGUUUCAAGGCCGAGAGCUGAUGACGAGUCGUCUUUUAGAUGACGAAGUGGUUGAUGCCAUGCUUCCAAGAAAAGCUUCUAAGCUUCAGGUAACCAGGAACCGUACCCCAAACCGACACAGGUGGUCGGGUAGAGAAUACCAAGGCGCUUGAGAGAACUCGGGUGAAGGAACUAGGCAAAAUGGCACCGUAACUUCGGGAGAAGGUGCGCCGGCUAGGGUGAAGGAUUUACUCCGUAAGCUCUGGCUGGUCGAAGAUACCAGGCCGCUGCGACUGUUUAUUAAAAACACAGCACUCUGCAAACACGAAAGUGGACGUAUAGGGUGUGACGCCUCCCCGGUGCCGGAAGGUUAAUUGAUGGGGUUAGCGCAAGCGAAGCUCUUGAUCGAAGCCCCGGUAAACGGCGGCCGUAACUAUAACGGUCCUAAGGUAGCGAAAUUCCUUGUCGGGUAAGUUCCGACCUGCACGAAUGGCGUAACGAUGGCGGCGCUGUCUCCACCCGAGACUCAGUGAAAUUGAAAUCGCUGUGAAGAUGCAGUGUAUCCGCGGCUAGACGGAAAGACCCCGUGAACCUUUACUGUAGCUUUGCACUGGACUUUGAGCCUGCUUGUGUAGGAUAGGUGGGAGGCUUUGAAGCGUGGACGCCAGUUCGCGUGGAGCCAUCCUUGAAAUACCACCCUGGCAUGCUUGAGGUUCUAACUCUGGUCCGUAAUCCGGAUCGAGGACAGUGUAUGGUGGGCAGUUUGACUGGGGCGGUCUCCUCCUAAAGAGUAACGGAGGAGUACGAAGGUGCGCUCAGACCGGUCGGAAAUCGGUCGCAGAGUAUAAAGGCAAAAGCGCGCUUGACUGCGAGACAGACACGUCGAGCAGGUACGAAAGUAGGUCUUAGUGAUCCGGUGGUUCUGUAUGGAAGGGCCAUCGCUCAACGGAUAAAAGGUACUCCGGGGAUAACAGGCUGAUACCGCCCAAGAGUUCAUAUCGACGGCGGUGUUUGGCACCUCGAUGUCGGCUCAUCACAUCCUGGGGCUGAAGCCGGUCCCAAGGGUAUGGCUGUUCGCCAUUUAAAGUGGUACGCGAGCUGGGUUUAGAACGUCGUGAGACAGUUCGGUCCCUAUCUGCCGUGGACGUUUGAGAUUUGAGAGGGGCUGCUCCUAGUACGAGAGGACCGGAGUGGACGAACCUCUGGUGUUCCGGUUGUCACGCCAGUGGCAUUGCCGGGUAGCUAUGUUCGGAAAAGAUAACCGCUGAAAGCAUCUAAGCGGGAAACUUGCCUCAAGAUGAGAUCUCACUGGGAACUUGAUUCCCCUGAAGGGCCGUCGAAGACUACGACGUUGAUAGGCUGGGUGUGUAAGCGUUGUGAGGCGUUGAGCUAACCAGUACUAAUUGCCCGU
rnacentral:rRNA from 1 species